AUGAACGCUGGCGGCGUGCUUAACACCUGCAAGUCGAACGGAAAGGCCUCUGCUUGCAGGGGUACUCGAGUGGCGAACGGGUGAGUAACACGUGGGUGAUCUGCCCUGCACUUCGGGAUAAGCCUGGGAAACUGGGUCUAAUACCGGAUAGGACAAUGGUUUGGAUGCUGUUGUGGAAAGUUUUUCGGUGUGGGAUGAGCUCGCGGCCUAUCAGCUUGUUGGUGGGGUAAUGGCCUACCAAGGCGUCGACGGGUAGCCGGCCUGAGAGGGUGUACGGCCACAUUGGGACUGAGAUACGGCCCAGACUCCUACGGGAGGCAGCAGUGGGGAAUAUUGCACAAUGGGCGCAAGCCUGAUGCAGCGACGCCGCGUGGGGGAUGACGGCCUUCGGGUUGUAAACUCCUUUCGCUAGGGACGAAGCGUUUUUGUGACGGUACCUGGAGAAGAAGCACCGGCUAACUACGUG
rnacentral:rRNA from 1 species